rnacentral:rRNA from 1 species
AACGAACGCUGGCGGCAUGCCUAACACAUGCAAGUCGAACGAGACCUUCGGGUCUAGUGGCGCACGGGUGCGUAACGCGUGGGAACCUGCCCUUAGGUUCGGAAUAACUCCCCGAAAGGGGUGCUCAUACCGGAUAAUGUCUUCGGACCAAAGAUUUAUCGCCUUUGGAUGGGCCCGCGUUGGAUUAGCUAGUUGGUAGGGUAAAAGCCUACCAAGGCGACGAUCCAUAGCUGGUCUGAGAGGAUGAUCAGCCACACUGGGACUGAGACACGGCCCAGACUCCUACGGGAGGCAGCAGUGGGGAAUAUUAGACAAUGGGCGAAAGCCUGAUCCAGCAAUGCCGCGUGAGUGAUGAAGGCCUUAGGGUUGUAAAGCUCUUUUACCCGGGAUGAUAAUGACAGUACCGGGAGAAUAAGCUCCGGCUAACUACGUG